GAUGAACGCUGGCGGCGCGCCUAAUACAUGCAAGUCGAGCGAAUGGAUUAAGAGCUUGCUCUUAUGAAGUUAGCGGCGGACGGGUGAGUAACACGUGGGUAACCUGCCCAUAAGACUGGGAUAACUCCGGGAAACCGGGGCUAAUACCGGAUAACAUUUUGAACCGCAUGGUUCGAAAUUGAAAGGCGGCUUCGGCUGUCACUUAUGGAUGGACCCGCGUCGCAUUAGCUAGUUGGUGAGGUAACGGCUCACCAAGGCAACGAUGCGUAGCCGACCUGAGUGGGUGAUCGGCCACACUGGGACUGAGACACGGCCCAGACUCCUGCGGGAGGCAGCAGUAGGGAAUCUUCCGCAAUGGACGAAAGUCUGACGGAGCAACGCCGCGUGAGUGAUGAAGGCUUUCGGGUCGUAAAACUCUGCUGUUAGGGAAGAACAAGUGCUAGUUGAAUAAGCUGGCACCUUGACGGUACCUAACCAGAAAGCCACGGCUAACUACGUGCCAGCCGCCGCAGUAA
rnacentral:rRNA from 1 species